rnacentral:rRNA from 1 species
CCUACGGGUGGCUGCAGUGGGGAAUAUUGGACAAUGGGCGAAAGCCUGAUCCAGCCAUGCCGCGUGUGUGAAGAAGGCCUUCGGGUUGUAAAGCACUUUCAGUGGGGAAGAAAGCCUUGGGGCUAAUACCCUCGAGGAAGGACAUCACCCACAGAAGAAGCACCGGCUAACUCCGUGCCAGCAGCCGCGGUAAUACGGAGGGUGCGAGUGUUAAUCGGAAUUACUGGGCGUAAAGCGCGCGUAGGCGGUCUGAUAAGCCGGUUGUGAAAGCCCCGGGCUCAACCUGGGAACGGCAUCCGGAACUGUCAGGCUAGAGUGCAGGAGAGGUAGGUAGAAUUCCCGGUGUAGCGGUGAAAUGCGUAGAGAUCGGGAGGAAUACCAGUGGCGAAGGCGGCCUUCUGGACUGACACUGACGCUGAGGUGCGAAAGCGUGGGUAGCAAACAGGAUUAGAUACCCUAGUAGUC